GAUGAAGAACGUAGCGAAAUGCGAUACGUAGUGUGAAUUGCAGAAUUCAGUGAAUCAUCGAAUAUUUGAACGCACAUUGCACCUCUCGGUAUUCCGGGAGGUAUGCCUGUUCGAGCGUCAUUUGUACCCUCAAGCUCUGCUUGGUGUUGGGUGUUUGUUCCGCCUCUGUGUGUGAACUCGCCUCAAAACAAUUGGCAGCCGGCGUACUUGUUUCGGAGCGCAGCACAUUUUGCGAUCCAGAUCAACGUACAGCGGCAUCCAAGAAGCCUUAUUUAACGCUCUUGACCUCGGAUCAGGUAGGGAUACCCGCUGAACUUAAGCAUAUCAAUAAGCGGAGGA
rnacentral:misc_RNA from 1 species